GACGCGUACAUUUUUCUCCCCUUAUCGAACGCAAAAAAAGAAAAAGAAGGAAAAAGAUAGAGGUGUCUUUUCGUAAUUUCUGGGCCGACAAUCCAAGAACCGUGGAAAGUUUCCCGUGGCUCGGGAAGACUGAUGAAUACGAAUCAGCGGACGGUCGACUUUUUAAUUACAAGCCGUCUUCUACCGGUGUAAGCAAUUUUCCGCACCGCCUCCCAUCGAUCUUCGAGAUGACUGGGAAUAAAUGACCGCUUACGAAACUUCUGGAGGAAAGGCGAUGCCGCUGCGAGGUGAACGUACACCGGUUGAAUGAAUGAUGUAAAAUUGGGAUGACGAAGAAAACGAAUGAAACGAUCUCUCGAUUUUCAUCUCCAAGAUUUAUUCGUUCAAAGGUUAUUAUCAAGCUAAACUGUAAAAGCUAUAAAUAUCCGUCUUAAACAUCAUCAUAAGUGAUGCAACUAUCGACAUUUAUUUACUAUAAAAUAUUAAUGCCAAGGACCGUUGUAGCCAAUCUAUUUCGAUUCUGUGACAAGAUAUUGGCUCUUUUCUGACUGACCAUGUGGAACUUACCGGUGGUGGAGUUGAUGAGAAAAUAACCUUCCGGAUUGCCGCUGGUGAUG